UACGUAGGUGGCAAGCGUUGUCCGGAUUAUUGGGUUUAAAGGGUGCGUAGGCGGUUUUCUAAGUCAGCAGUGAAAUACGGCAGCUCAACUGUCGAGGUGCUGUUGAUACUGGGGAACUUGAGUACUGAUGAGGUAGGCGGAAUGGACGGUGUAGCGGUGAAAUGCUUAGAGAUCGUCCAGAACACCGAUAGCGAAGGCAGCUUACUAAGGAGUAACUGACGCUGAGGCACGAAAAGUGUGGGGAUCAAACAGG
rnacentral:rRNA from 1 species